AUGCUCUCUUCAGUAGUACGUAUACUAAAAUUAGAAGCAUACAGAGAAGAUUAGCAUGGCCCCUGCACAAGGAUAACAUGCAAAUUCAUGAAGCGUUCCAUAUAAAU
ensembl:snRNA U6 U6 spliceosomal RNA